GACGAACGCUGGCGGCGUGCCUAAUACAUGCAAGUCGAACGCAGUGGGGACGGGUGAGUAACACGUGGGUAACCUCCCAUCAGAGGGGAUAACACUUGGAAACAGGUGCUAAAACCGAUACUGAUGGAUGGACACGCGGUGCAUUCGCUAGUUGGUGGGGUAACGGCUCCCCUAGGCCACGAUCCAUAGCUGACUGUGGAGGGUGAUCGGCCAGCCGGUGACUGAGACCCGGCCCAGACUCCUACGGGAGGCAGCAGUAGGGAAUCUUCGGCAAUGGACGAAGGUCUGACCGAGCAACGCCGCGUGAGUGAAGAAGGUUUUCGGAUCGUAAAACUCUGUUGUUGGAGAAGCGGUAUCUAACCAGAAAGCCACGGCUAACUACGUGCCAGCAGCCGCGGUAAUUC
rnacentral:rRNA from 1 species